GAUGAAGAACGUAGCGAAAUGCGAUAACUAAUGUGAAUUGCAGAAUUCAGUGAAUCAUCGAGUCUUUGAACGCACAUUGCGCCCCCUGGUAUUCCGGGGGGCAUGCCUGUCCGAGCGUCAUUGCUGCCCUCAAGCACGGCUUGUGUGUUGGGCUCCGUCCCCCCGGGGACGGGUCCGAAAGGCAGCGGCGGCACCGAGUCCGGUCCUCGAGCGUAUGGGGCUUUGUCACCCGCUCUGUAGGCCCGGCCGGCGCCAGCCGACAACCAAUCAUCCUUUUUUCAGGUUGACCUCGGAUCAGGUAGGGAUACCCGCUGAACUUAAGCAUAUCAAUAAGCGGGGA
rnacentral:misc_RNA from 1 species